rnacentral:rRNA from 1 species
AGCCUGACGCAGCGACGCCGCGUGCGGGAUGGAGGCCUUCGGGUUGUAAACCGCUUUUAUCGGGGAGCAAGCGAGAGUGAGUGUACCCGUUGAAUAAGCACCGGCUAACUACGUGCCAGCAGCCGCGGUAAUAA